rnacentral:rRNA from 1 species
UUAGUGACCGAUAGCGCAUAGUACUUUGAAGGAACGGUGAAAAGGACCCCGGGAGGGGAGUGAACAGAACCGGAAACCAUAUGUUUACAAGCUGUGGAAACCACUUUAUAUGUGGAACCGCGUACUUUUUGUAGAACGGUCGGCGAGUUGCGCUGGCUGGCGAGGUUAGCACCAAAGGUGUGGAGCCGAAGGGAAACCAAGUCUUAAUAGGGCGAAAGAGUCAGUCGGAGCAGACCCGAAACCGGGUGAUCUAUCCAUGUCCAGGUUGAAGUUGCCGUAAAAGGCAAUGGAGGACCGAACCCACAUCCGUUGAAAAGGGUGGGGAUGAGGUGUGGAUAGGGGAGAAAUUCCAAUCGAACCCGGAGAUAGCUGGUUCUCCUAGAAAUAGCUUUAGGGCUAGCCUCAUAUAAGUCUUGCGGAGGUAGAGCACUGAAUUUCCUAGGGGGCGUCAAAGCUUACCGAAGAAUAUCAAACUCCGAAUGCCGUGUAGAUGUUGUAUGGGAGUCAGACUGUACGAGAUAAGUUGGACAGUCAAAAGGGAAAGAGCCCAGACCUGCAGCUAAGGCCCCAAAAUGUGUGUUAAGUGGAAAAGGAUGUGGGAUUUCAAAGACAACUAGGAUGUUGGCUUAGAAGCAGCCAUACAUUCAAAGAGUGCGUAAUAGCUCACUAGUCGAGAGGUCCUGCGCCGAAAAUGUCCGGGGCUGAAACACACUGCCGAAGCUCAGGAAUGAUCCUAGAUCAUUGGUAGAGGAGCAUUGUAUACGGGACGAAGCAGUACCGAUAAGGAGCUGUGGACUGUAUAGAAGAGAGAAUGCCGGAAUGAGUAGCGAGAGGAAGGUGAGAAUCCUUCCGGCCGAAUAUCUAAGGUUUCCAGAGUAAAGCUGAUCUGCUCUGGGUAAGUCGGGGCCUAAGGCCAGGUCGAAAGACGUAACCGAUGGACAACAGGUUGAAAUUCCUGUACCUUAAGUAAACAGAACUGUGGGGACACGUGUGGAGAGCACAAGCCGGAAAUGGAAAAGCCGGUGCAAGCGGGGUAGGAGAUGAAUAGGCAAAUCCGUUCAUCAAUCCGAAGACGUGAUGCGGACCGAAUUAAGAGUAGGGAAGUGUGUGAGCCAUGCGUCAAGAAAAGCCGCUAUUGUUUUACUUAAGCCCGUACCGUAAACCGACACAGGUGGAUGAGGAGAGAAUCCUAAGGCCGACGGGAGAAGCAUUGUUAAGGAACUCGGCAAAAUGACUCCGUAACUUCGGGAGAAGGAGUGCCAGCGAGAGCUGGCCGCAGAGAAUUGGCCCAAGCAACUGUUUAGCAAAAACACAGGUCUAUGCAAAACCGUAAGGUGAAGUAUAUGGGCUGACGCCUGCCCGGUGCUGGAAGGUUAAGAGGAGAGGUUAGCGGCAACGCGAAGCUUUGAAUUUAAGCCCCAGUAAACGGCGGCCGUAACUAUAACGGUCCUAAGGUAGCGAAAUUCCUUGUCGGGUAAGUUCCGACCCGCACGAAAGGCGUAAUGAUUUGGGCACUGUCUCAACAAUGCACCCGGUGAAAUUGAAAUACCAGUGAAGAUGCUGGUUACCUGCGCCAGGACGGAAAGACCCCAUGGAGCUUUACUCCAGCUUGAUACUGGGAUUCGGUAUUGCAUGUACAGGAUAGGUGGGAGGCUAGGAAGUGAUAACGCCAGUUGUCACGGAGCCGCUG